GGCUUCGUGGUGUAGUGGUCAGCACACUUGGCACUUAUUCGAGAGGUCCGAGGUUCGAGUCCCGGCAAGGACA
rnacentral:tRNA from 1 species